ACAGCAGUCGCCACGGUAAUACGGAGGGUGCAAGCGUUAUCCGGAUUUAUUGUGUUUAAAGGGUCCGUAGGCGGAUCUGUAAGUCAGUGGUGAAAUCUCACAGCUUAACUGUGAAACUGCCAUUGAUACUGCAGGUCUUGAGUAAAUUUGAAGUGGCUGGAAUAAGUAGUGUAGCGGUGAAAUGCAUAGAUAUUACUUAUAACACCAAUUGCGAAGGCAGGUCACUAAGAUUUAACUGACGCUGAUGGACGAAAGCGUGGGGAGCGAACAGGAUUAGAUACCCGAGUAGUCCCUGUCUCUUAUAC
rnacentral:rRNA from 1 species